rnacentral:rRNA from 1 species
ACAUGUCCGCAUGAUUAAAGGUAUUUUCCGGUAGACGAUGGGGAUGCGUUCCAUUAGAUAGUAGGCGGGGUAACGGCCCACCUAGUCAACGAUGGAUAGGGGUUCUGAGAGGAAGGUCCCCCACAUUGGAACUGAGACACGGUCCAAACUCCUACGGGAGGCAGCAGUGAGGAAUAUUGGUCAAUGGGCGAUGGCCUGAACCAGCCAAGUAGCGUGAAGGAUGACUGCCCUAUGGGUUGUAAACUUCUUUUAUAAAGGAAUAAAGUCGGGUAUGCAUACCCGUUUGCAUGUACUUUAUGAAUAAGGAUCGGCUAACUCCGUGCCAGCAGCCGCGGUAAUACGGAGGAUCCGAGCGUUAUCCGGAUUUAUUGGGUUUAAAGGGAGCGUAGAUGGAUGUUUAAGUCAGUUGUGAAAGUUUGCGGCUCAACCGUAAAAUUGCAGUUGAUACUGGAUGUCUUGAGUGCAGUUGAGGCAGGCGGAAUUCGUGGUGUAGCGGUGAAAUGCUUAGAUAUCACGAAGAACUCCGAUUGCGAAGGCAGCCUGCUAAGCUGCAACUGACAUUGAGGCUCGGAAGUGUGGGUAUCAAACAGGAUUAGAUACCCUGGUAGUCCACACAGUAAACGAUGAAUACUCGCUGUUUGCGAUAUACGGCAAGCGGCC